rnacentral:rRNA from 1 species
ACAAGCGGUGAGUAUGUGGUUAUUCGAUGCAACGCGAAGAACCUUACCUGGUCUUGACAUCCCGGAGACCCUUAGGAAACUAGGGGUGCUCCAUCUGGAAGAAUCUGGAGACAGGUGCUGCAUGGCUGUCGUCAGCUCGUGUCGUGAGAUGUUGGGUUAAGUCCCGCAACGAGCGCAACCCUUGCCUUUAGUUGCCAGCAGUUCGGCUGGGCACUCUAAAGGGACUGCCGGUGUUAAACCGGAGGAAGUGGGGAUGACGUCAAGUCCUCAUGGCCUUUAUGACCAGGGCUACACACGUACUACAAUGGCCGAUACAAAGGGCAGCGACACUGCGAGGUGAAGCCAAUCCCGUAAAAUCGGUCUCAGUCCGGAUUGGAGUCUGCAACUCGACUCCAUGAAGUUGGAAUCGCUAGUAAUCGUGGAUCAGCAUGCCACGGUGAAUACGUUCCCGGGCCUU